rnacentral:rRNA from 1 species
GGCGAGUGAACCGGGAAGAGCUCAAUUUGAAAUCUGGCGUCCUCAGGGCGUCCGAGUUGUAAUCUAUAGAGGCGUUUUCCGUGCCGGACCGUGUCCAAGUUCCUUGGAACAGGAUAUCAAAGAGGGUGACAAUCCCGUACUUGACACGACGACCGGUGCUCUGUGAUACGUCUUCUACGAGUCGAGUUGUUUGGGAAUGCAGCUCAAAAUGGGUGGUGAGUUCCAUCUAAAGCUAAAUAUUGGCGAGAGACCGAUAGCGAACAAGUACCGUGAGGGAAAGAUGAAAAGCACUUUGGAAAGAGAGUUAAACAGUACGUGAAAUUGUUGAAAGGGAAACGAUUGAAGUCAGUCGUGACCGAGAGGCUCAGCCGGCUCUGCCGGUGUAUUCCCCUCGGUCGGGUCAACAUCAGUUUUGUCCGGUGGAUAAGGGCGGUAGGAAGGUGGCACCCUCGGGUGUGUUAUAGCCUGCCGUCGCAUACAUCGGGUGAGACUGAGGAACGCAGCUCGCCUUUAUGGCCGGGGUUCGCCCACGUCCGAGCUUAGGAUGUUGACAUAAUGGCUUUAAACGACCCGUCUUGAAACACGGGACCA